rnacentral:miRNA from 1 species
UUAGGUUGAUGCAAAAGUAAUUGUGGUUUUUGCCAUUGAAAGUAAUAGCAAAAACCACAAUUAUUUUUGCACCAACCUAAUAA